GUUAAAACGCUCGUAGUCGGAUUUCGGGGCGGGUUGGCCGGUCUGCCGAUGGGUAUGCACCGGUCGACGCGUCCUUUUUUUCCGGAGACCAUGCCUCCUCUUAACUGAGUGGGUAUGGGAAACGGAACUUUUACUUUGAAAAAAUCAGAGUGUUUCAAGCAGGCAGCUCGCUCUUGCAUGGAUUAGCAUGGGAUAAUAAAAUAGGACUUUGGUGCUAUUUUGUUGGUUUCGAACACCGAAGUAAUGAUUAACAGGGACAGUCAGGGGCACUCGUAUUCCGCCGAGAGAGGUGAAAUUCUUAGACCAGCGGAAGACGAACAACUGCGAAAGCAUUUGCCAGGGAUGUUUUCACUGAUCAAGAACGAAAGUUAGGGGAUCGAAGAUGAUCAGAUACCGUCGUAGUCUUAACCAUAAACCAUGCCGACUAGGGAUUGGAGGAUGUUCUCUUUUUGACUCCUUCAGCACCUUUCGGGAAACUAAAGUCUUUGGGUUCCGGGGGGAGUAUGGUCGCAAGGCUGAAACUUAAAGGAAUUGACGGAAGGGCACCACAAGGGGUGGAGCCUGCGGCUUAAUUUGACUCAACACGGGGAAACUUACCAGGUCCAGACAUUGUGAGGAUUGACAGAUUGAGAGCUCUUUCUUGAUUCGAUGGGUGGUGGUGCAUGGCCGUUCUUAGUUGGUGGAGUGAUUUGUCUGGUUAAUUCCGUUAA
rnacentral:rRNA from 1 species